AUUAUUAGUUUUUUUUAUAUUUUUAUGAAUUAUUAAAUGAUUUUUUAUGGAUUUCUUUAAGAUUUUUUAGGAUUUGAUUAAGAUUUGAUUAUAAUUUUAAAGAUUUAAUCAAGGUUUGUUUAGAUUUUUAUCAGAUUUUUUAAGUUCUUUGCUUAUUGUACAUACAAUUUGCAUUCCACAACCACAUGCUUAUUGAAUUUUGUUGUUAGUUUUUAUAUAACAUAACAUAUAGUAUUGGCAAGAUAAUUUUGUGUUUUUUCUAAAACAAAAGGAUUUUUCUAUUUUAUUUUAGAAUGACUUCAAGAGAUCUAUUCAAAGUUAAGAUUUGUAUUAGCAAUUAGGAUUUUGUAUAUUGAACUUAGAACUAGCAUUUUCAGCUGAUUUAUGUAUUCUUAACAACA
rnacentral:lncRNA from 1 species